rnacentral:ncRNA from 1 species
ACAAUGAUACUCCUGUUCAGUCACAGUCCGAGCGUGACGCGGAUUCGUUUUUUCGUGAGCCGUCGCAGGCAAUGAGAGCAGCCGGCAGAGAACCUGCCGGGGGUGAGAUUCCCGUGG